rnacentral:misc_RNA from 1 species
CGAGGCGAUACCUAAUUUCUUUUUGUUUCAAUAUUUCCUUCUUCUCCAAUUUAUUGCGCUAAAGAUUCUUAAUUUUUCUUGCAUUCUGCUUCUACUCGCAUUCAAUUUCUCUGGGUGCUCUGUUCAGCUUUCUAUUGCCUUCGAUCAUUGUACGGCUUGGACGCUAUUUGGGUUUUCCGUUCUUGCGAUCGAUAGCGCAAAUUUCUUGCCAACUCAAAGGUGCCGUUUGGAUUCCGUUUGGUGUUUUGUUUCUUAAGUCGAUCGAUUGGGGUUGGCUGUGGAGCGCGGAUUUGGCUUUGGGUUUAGGUGUGUGAAGAGUGAGGAUUUUUAUUAAAAAAAAAAAUUUACAUUCUGUGAUGAGAAUCGUAAUCAGAGAAUGAACGAUGCCGGUGCUGCGUAGCGGAGCGCGCAGGGGCCGGGGAGCAGCAGCAAAGCAACAGGCAAAUCCGACUGAGGCAGGGGAGGCGAUCGCAACAAGGACACGCAGAAGGCGCGCGGAAGCAGCUGCUGCGGGGGCUGCACCUAAAAAUAAUAAUACUAACAACAAUAACGAUAAGGACCAGCAGCAACCGGUGGAUGAAAACGUAGUUGCUGUUGCUGCAGUCGUGGCAGCGGCGGGGAAGGGGGAACACCACGGGGUAAAUAGGGGUGUAGAAGGGGGAGUGGCGGUUGCUGGUGUUGGCGCUAUUGGUGGAGGGGCGGAAAAGAAGGAGGAAGUAGGAGAAAAGCUUAUGGACGACUACGAUAGUGGCGGGGGGAGGAANNNNNNNNNNUAAAGCCAAUGCUGGUGAAGAUGAGGGGAGCACUGCUCCACUUCCUGAGAAGGUUCAGUUUGGCGGUUCCCCAGUUUACAAAUUAGAAAAAAAGUUGGGCAAGGGUGGCUUUGGUCAAGUGUAUGUUGGUCGACGCCUUUCUCCUCUUACUUCAAAUGAUAGAACUGGACCUGGAGCUGUAGAGGUGGCCUUAAAAUUUGAGCAUAGAAGUAGUAAGGGAUGUAACUAUGGACCACCACAUGAGUGGCAAGUUUAUAGCUUUCUUGGGGGCAGUCAUGGAAUACCACGAGUACACUACAAGGGUCGACAAGGUGACUACUAUGUCAUGGUUAUGGA